rnacentral:rRNA from 1 species
ACUCAAAUGAAUUGACGGGGGCCCGCACAAGCAGCGGAGCGUGUGGUUUAAUUCGACGCGACGCGAAGAACCUUACCAGGGCUUGACAUCGGCGCGCAAGGGCCCGAAAGGGCCGCCUCCCGCGAGGGACGCGCCGACAGAUGCUGCAUGGCUGUCGUCAGCUCGUGCCGUGAGGUGUUGGGUUAAGUCCCGCAACGAGCGCAACCCCCGCCCCCAGUUACCGUGUCUGGGGGGACUGCCGCGACAAACGCGGAGGAGGGUGGGGAUGACGUCAAGUCAGCACGGCUCGCACGCCCUGGGCGACACACACGCUACAAUGGGCGCGACAAGGGGCGGCGAGAUCGCAAGGUGGAGCCAAUCCCGCCAAAGGCGCCCCCAGUUCGGAUCGGCGUCUGCAACCCGACGCCGUGAAGGCGGAGUUGCUAGUAACCGCGGGUCAGCACACCGCGGUGAAUACGUUCCCGGGCCUUGUACACACCGCCCGU